AUUUCAAAGAUAAACGUUGAAGUUUACAAGAUGUGAUUAACAAAUUAUAAGACCUUUUAACUUUGUUAUGCUGAAAAGUUAAUAUAAAAUCUAGGUCAGGACGUUCGGGUUUUCGGGUCGGGUUCGGGGCGGUUCCUUUUGGGUCUCGAUCUUUCGGGUCCUAAAUAUUUAGACCCAAUAGGUAUUUAGAAAAUUUUGGUUCGGAUUCGGGUCGGUUUUUCUCGGAUCGGUUCGGGUCUAUAAUUAAAAUAUCCACCAAAUAUCUGUAAUUAUUCAGGUCCAUAUCGGGUCCUGGUCUGGUUCGGGUAUUUAAUAUCCGAAAAGAAAUGACGUACCCAAUUCCAUCAAAUUUAGUUGAUAUUUGUCUUAUAUAUCAAUUUUUUUACAAAAUAACUUAAAUGAAACUAUUAAAAAUUAAAAUAAAAUAUUUUAAACUCUAAUUUUAAAUUUUAAAGCUUUCUAUUAAUUAAAAAAAUGUUAAAAAAUAAUAACAAACGUUGUUAACAAAAGAUUCAACUAAAUCAUAAAAUAAUAUAUAUAAAAUAGAACACAAAACAUUAUAGUUUUAGAUAUAAAUGUUUUUAAGUUGGGUACAAAUCAGUUCUUAUCGGUUCGGGUCCGGGUCUAUUCGGAUCGGUUCUUUUUGGUUCCGGUUCUUUCGGGUAAAAAAAUUUAAACCCAAAAGGUGCUUGUAAAUUUUUGGUCUGGUUCCCAGUUCCAGAUCGACUAUUUUUAGAUCGGUUCGGGUCUUCGGAUCCAGGUUAAAAUGCUCAGACCUAAUAAAAUCAAAAGCAAUCAAACCCGAAACCGAUCUGCUUGAAAGCAAACUGGACUGCAAGUAACAAUACAAUCUAAUUCGUCAAGAUCUUCAUAGUUAAAAAUUGAAGGGAUAUCCCACUUUCUCUAGGCUCUUCACGUUUCGAUUGGGGUGCAACAGCAAAGGAAUAAAAUAAUAAGUUAGAAUUAUAGUUUUAUAAUAUAGGAAAGCAAUAAUGUUAAGUUUGUAAUGUUCGGAAACGUUAAUUGUUUCAAAGAUUCAACAAAUAAAGCACUAAGGCAAACCUAGUUUUAUAUUAACUUCUCUUUGUGUUUAAGAGAGAUACGUUUUAGUAUUUUACUAGAAGAGAGCGUACGGAUUAUAGGAAAGUGGUUGGCCUACCUACAAAACAUUUUGUCCUUAUAUGAUUUUACUACAUGUAACGUUUUUGAUCGUAAACCACGCUAACUUUAAAGAUAGUAUGGUAAAAGUGCCUUGCUAUAUUAUUAGGAUUUUUUUUUGGUUUAAAAAGGGCAAACAUCUUCAAGAUUUCAUUUGUAAUAGAAUUGAUUCAUAAACUAGAAACCACAAGAUCACUAUCGCUAGGCAUUUAUUGGGAUAAAACCAGAUUUGUAAUUUGUAUAGGAAAAACCGUUAUGGAGAUGGCACGUAAUUCAAGUUACUCAACUUAAUUGCUAGUUUUAGAAUUAUCUAUCUAUCUUUGACCAAAAAAAAAAAAAAAAAAAAAAAGAAUUAUCUAUCUAUCUAUAUAUAUCUAAUUAUAUAAAAAGAUGUUGCCUCACUUCUGGUGAUGCCACGUCAGCAUCUACCUAGGAAAGUCACCUCCUGUACGCGUGCCACGUGUCCAAGCUUCUCUCCGCGUCGUUUCAUUUAAAAGUUGUGGUUAAUAUUUUGGGCUUCACGUCUGGGCUUUAAGAUUACACAUCUUAUUGAGCCCGAAAGCGAACAAACGCGUAUCGUCGUCUCAUCGGCUUCACACAGAGUUUAGGGUUCAUCCUUCUCUUCCUUCGCCGACAUCAACGAUGGAGUUUCCGAUUAUAAUCAAAUACCUAAAAUCGAUUAUCAGAAUCUCUUUAUCAACCGCGUCGUUCAGUCUCCCGUAAUUAUCAAUCGAAACGUUUGGAGGUAUCAUCUAUGAGCUACGCGUAUUCAAUGUCACAAGAAGUAACAUCCACUUCAAAUUCACUGGCUCACCAGUUUCCAUUCGCUUCAACGACCAGACCAACUUUGUGGAGCUUAUGUAGACAACUGCCUUUAUUCUACAGAAAAGUUCAUGUUUCAGAAAUAUGAGCAGCUCAUGUUUUUAGUUAAUAGAAACGUGGAUAUUCAACCUUUAUUACCAAAGUUUUCUGCAAACAUUUUUUUGUGUUGUUUGUGGCAUCAAGAACACCUACAGCUAGGAAAAUCAGGUCAUCGAACGUAUUAUUCAAUAACCCUACGCUACUUCAUGGUGACGGAGGAGAGCUUCCAGUAAAUCAAUGUUUUAUUCCUGAAACAUUUCAUAGACACAUUCGACAAUGAUUCAAGGUUCUGUUAAUGCACACUGGCUCAACACCUUCAAACAAGAAGGCUCAAUGUACUCGGUUAGUGGGUUCUAGCAGGCAGCAGAUGGCAACAGUUAUUUUCAGAGGUAUGUAUACUUCCAUAAUCCAUUCUGCCGUUUAUAUGCUACACCAGCUUUCUUAACCCCACAGUGCAUUAGGUUGGAGUCUAAUGCCGGCACACUGCUCCGUUUGGUUUUUAGUUUCUGUGACAGCCAUUGCUUCCCAUUUUUUCAGCCCUAUGCUUGAUUUCUUUCUUCUUUUCAGUUCAAGCUUGGAGAAUUAGAAGUUGGACUUUCUGAAAUCAAUGCUAAUAAUGACAAGCUGCAGCAUUUUUACUAUGAACUUGUGGAGUAUAAGCUCCUUCUUGACAAGGUAAUAUGUUAUCAUUUUACUCAGUCUUUGUUAGAUGCUUCACCUUAUUAUUUCACAAAGGAAGUCCUGAAUUGGUUUGUAACUAAUUUUACAGCUUUGUGGUUCUGUAAAAUAUACUAUUAUAGAUGAUCUUUGGUCAACACAACUAAUGAUUGUACAUGACUUUUGACAAUGUGAAUGACACAUUUAAACUGUUAUCUUAAAUUGUUGGUAUGUAUCCCAUGCAUUCAUGUCUCUGGUACGUGUCUUUUUAGGCUGGUGAUUUUUUUUUUUUGCUUCGGCCAGUAGUACUACCGCUCAACAGAGUGAGAUAGAAUCACAACUGGGUGAAGAUAACCUCUAGGCUCUUUUUGCUGCAGGAAGAGCAGUCUGUUGAUCCAACAGAGCAAGUAAAGCUGGGACUCCUCAUUGGGCUGGUGCCACGCGAAAUUCUAUGGUGUUCGAGACCUAUUUCCAAAUUAAUAGUUACUGUGUGUUUUUUUGGUUCCUGCAGCUGAGCAAAACCAUUCACCACAUCUACACAUAUUACUCAUGAACACAACACAUAUAUAUAUAUAUAUAUAUAUAUAUAUAUAUAUAUAUAUAUUAUGGAUUUUACUUCACUGUUAAAAUCUGCAAGUAUUUUUUUAUGGUUUACGAAAAUAUUUCACUUACAAAAUUA